rnacentral:tRNA from 1 species
AAGACACUAGUAUAAUCAGAUAUUACAUUGCCUUGUCGAGGCAAAAUUGUGGGUUAAACUCCCGCGUGCCUUG